GUGGGGAAUUUUGGACAAUGGGCGCAAGCCUGAUCCAGCAAUGCCGCGUGUGUGAAGAAGGCCUUCGGGUUGUAAAGCACUUUUGUCCGGAAAGAAAUCUCCUGGGUUAAUACCUCGGGGGGAUGACGGUACCGGAAGAAUAAGCACCGGCUAACUACGUGCCAGCAGCCGCGGUAAUACGUAGGGUGCGAGCGUUAAUCGGAAUUACUGGGCGUAAAGCGUGCGCAGGCGGCUCUGCAAGACAGAUGUGAAAGCCCCGGGCUCAACCUGGGAACUGCAUUUGUGACUGCAAGGCUAGAGUGCGUCAGAGGGAGGUGGAAUUCCGCGUGUAGCAGUGAAAUGCGUAGAGAUGCGGAGGAACACCGAUGGCGAAGGCAGCCUCCUGGGAUGACACUGACGCUGAGGUGCGAAAGCGUGGGGAGCAAACAGGAUUAGAAACCCCAGUAGUCC
rnacentral:rRNA from 1 species